AACAAACGCACAACCCAAAUUACAUUUUUGCAGUCUUAACGGAUGGUAGCUAGCUCCUUAUUAUUUGUAGGCAACUUGGGCGCUGGAGAUAUACUUUCAAAAGAAACAUUACAGUAAGUGGAUAUUUUAGGCUUAUAAAGCCACGGGUUCCACUAGUGUAGAAACUAUAAAAUCUUUUAGCCCACCGUCAGCAUUAUUGUAGCCAUCUUCGCACUUGUACACAACAUCCAUGACCCGAGCAAAAUUGAGAAUACGAAUUAGCAGGGGCAUGGCGACAGCGGUAGGGUGGAGGCACGCUUCGUUUAUGUCCUUCCAUGCAUUAUUCACUUGUCUUCGAAGUUCGAUUAUCGCUUCUUCUUCUGUGGCACCAUAUUUUCUCAUGUAACAGUUCACAGCUGAGGCAAAAUGUUCUCUCUCUUGCUCAAGCUAGUCAGGCAUGAGGAUUAAGAUAAAGGAAGACCAUUAAUAUAAGUAUUAAUGCAAUCAUAAUAGUCAUGCUUGUCAAGAUUUCAGUUAGGGGUUCAACAGUUCACUACUAAUGGGUCAAGCAGUGAUACUAUUCUAACUUAACCAUUUGCUAGUCCAGCAGGCGUAGGCUUUUGUAUAAAAGCGUCCAAUGCAAUUAGAAGUGGAACCAAUUGAUAUGAGUUAUAUUUUAUUCUGUCUGGUUUUCAGCGUGAGACUGUUUACAUUCUACAAUACUCAUUAAUACUAUUUACAUAUACGAUUAAGUACCUUAUGGUCCGCUAUGUCAUCCAUAAGUCUGGUAACUGUUGAUGCAGCCUUCACUGCUUGAGGGGAAGUUAACAACCAAUCAAAGGAGUCUAUUGUAGCUUCUUCCAUUCCAACAAACGAUGUGGUUAUUAGCAACGGGUAGCCACAGGUCAUGAGUGAUACAGACAUGUAUUCAUCCAAUGAUGGCAUGUGAUUCUGGCGGAACAAUUUCGCUUCAUCGAAGAAGCCUCUAACUUGGUUCUUCAUCUGGCACAUACCAGAUCAAGAGAUUAUAUCAAUUUUUAUCGUUUCUACUUUUAAUUAAUACUGAUAUAUAAAGAUUAUUAUAAAUAAUUAUUUGUUUCUAUACAUAUUGUGAAGUAUUUACAGCACGUUUUUCUGGCCUUUUAACAACUUUAGACUCAAAACUAAGCGCAUAUAUAUAUAUAUAUAUAUAUAUAUGGAUUAUUACCGCUUCUCUUGCAUGGUCGAUGCGAUAUAAUUUCCCCUCGUGCGCAAGCUUUUCAUGAAUUUCACUGUAUAUAUUCAACAAUGCACGAUAGCAAAGUUUCAUAUACUCUGGUAGUUGAUCUAUAGCUGAGACAUCCCACCUGAUCAAGUAAUAUAUAAAUCAGUUGUGCGUAAUUUAGUUUUUCUGUUUUGAUCGGAUGUAAGGUAAGAUAAUUUAUACAAGAGAAUUUUAACUAAUGAUAUAUUCAUACCUCUCAAUAGCUUCAGUAAAGAGCUCUAGUUCUUCAAAUUUUCCAUGUGUAUCAUAAAUGUCAUCCAUAAUGGAUGUUAUAGCGGUAACUUUGCAUGAUGUCCUCCUAGCAAAGGAAUACUGAGGCUGAAAGUAGACAGACAUACUCCAGCAGAAGUAGACCUCAACCAAUCUGUCUCUUGCGAAAGGUAGCUUGUUUGGCACGUCCAAGUCCUUCCACCACCUGAGUUACAAAAAUAAGUAUUUAUUAGUAGCUAGAGGUGGAGAAUUCAACUCUUUAGUAAGUGAUGUAUAUGGAUGAAUAAGGAAUUAAUUUACCUUGUGAUUUCGCUUAGUUCUUUCUGAUGGACUCGUUGCAGUCGGUUGAAAUCCAACUUGGCGAACGUUAGGAGAGUUUCAUUUGGUGAUUCUCUUAGUUCCUCGUAGACAGACAAGUAAUACCUUGCUUCAACCCUUGGUAAACCCUUUCGGAGCUGCUGAUUUAAGGCAUGGGUUACUGUUUUUGCAAGUGGGGGGCUUAGACGGUAUAUAGUCAACUCAAGCUGCGUGGUUGUGAAGGUUAGUGCCUCAUCUAGUAUCUCCUCUCCAUGUAUUCUAAGGUGUGUGGCUUCAUACAAGCUUAGUAGUCCUACAACAUCAUCAACGAGUGUUUCCUUGAAUUUUCCAUCACCGUCCUUGAAUUUGUUGAAUAAGUCUGCAUGACCAACAAAAUGGAAAAUUCAGAACCUCAAAAAGCAUUUAGAUAAAAAGAACAAAAUAUAUCACCAGAUCACCAUCCGAGAGUACUUACCGCAUGAAACGUUAUAACCUUGUUGUCUAAGCAGUCGAAAAUGAAGAGCAGUGGUGUACAGGUCAUCCAAAUCAUAUGAGUUCUCGUGAAUUUUCUGUAAAAUUUCUUCAAUCUCAUUUCCAAAAUGGUAGGACACACCUAAGCGCUGAAUGUCAUCAAUCAAGUUCAGCUUUUGUGAAACAUUUUCAACUGAAGUCAUUAGCAUCCUUCUCACUUCUUCCUUCAGUUCUUGUACAUGUUGUUCAAGUUCAACAUCCACUUCCUCCAUAGCAUCACGUUGAUUUAAGAAAAAAGAAAACGCAUAACCUUUACAAUAUGUUUGAUACCAAAAGAUAUAGACUACAAUUAAUAUAAGAUGAUUAUAAGUUUGGUAACACAUUAGAAAACGCAUAACCUUUAUGAUGUCAAUUUCUAAUUGUAAACAUUGAGAAAAGAGAGGCAGCUAGCCUGAAAUAGUUAUUGCAUAUCAGUUUUCAUGACUUUAAGAACUUGUUUUUCCCAAAAAAAAAAAAAAAAAUUGUGUGUGAAUUUAACUUUGGUAGUUAGAUUCGCAACAUGCUUGCCACGUGAAGGAAGGGAAAGUUAGAUAAAAUGAUUUCGAAUCAGUAGCAUUUUAAAUGAUUAAAGUACUCUUUGGUUUUUUUCCUCGUUUAAAAUUACAAAUUUAAUUUUCAUAAUAAUAUAGUGUUCAAAAUAUAUAAUAGUUUAUUGUAGUAAGAAAGAAGUCUUACCAAAGAAGCAUAGGACAGAAAAUGGUCACCCCAAAUGCUGGGAGAAAAAGUGGCUGAAGGCUUAGGAUCAAAAGUGUCAUUUGGGCUUGAAGAUUGAGAUAGUGGAACUUCCAGAGAAGACAUAUUUCAAAAGAUUUCAAACUUGAAGCGAACUAGCCAAGUGUUAUUGCUUUUGUAUCAAGUGCUGGUGUGAGUUCAGGAGCUCAUUAGCUUUGCUAUUUAUAGUAUCGCUGACUAUCUACCCCGCACCCACUGGAGAAAAAAAAUAUCUACAGAAAUUUUACUGGUCGGUCAUCUUGGCUUUUUAAACAUUUUUUAUUACAUAAAUUCUUAUCUUUAUUUUUUUAACAAAUAGAAUAAUUUAUAUUAAAUUAAAUUAAAUUACAAAAAAAAAUAUAUAUAUAUAUUCGAACACAAAACCACAUGAACGAAUAUUUUUAACCAAUUGAACCACAAAUUAUUUACACAUAAAUUCUUAACUUAUGCUCUUCCCAAAUCUGAUCUUUAAUUUGUGGGUCCCCCACUCAACAAAUUAAUAAUAAUUUGUCUCCCUUCCCACUCAACAAAUUGGUUUUUUGUUUUUUAUUUUUUAUUUUUUCAGUGAGUAAACCAACGCGCACCGACUAAGGUCAGUUUGAUGAGCGGUUCCUAUAAUUCUUGGACAUCGGUUAACCGAACCGACUCGUGGUUACUUUUGUAUGUUUUAAUCAGAAUAGAUGGUGGUGUAUUUGUGGUCUCGUUUUAAGUGUCUAAUUAAUAGAAAUCAGGGCUAGGUUCGGUUGGCAAACCGUGCCAAAUUCCUUGUGUCACCUACCAGCCACAUAUACAUGAUUACUGAAAAUCAGUUACUGCUAGCCAACCAUCUUCUUACGGUUGCCAAAAAUUGAUUCAACCAAAAUUAUUGGCUGGUUCGGUUGGUAAAUGGCACAACCAGUGGUUUCCACUUCUUCCUCGCUAUCUUCCAGUUCCAAGGGCUUAAUUUGAUUUUCAGAUUGGGGUGCUUGUUCGGUUGCAUUGUGUGGUUCAUUUUAGGUUAAUCCAUGUUGUGCACUAGCGGUUGAUUGGCUAAACUCCAUCAUCCUAAACAUAAGCAAUGCAUAUACAUUCAAAAUCAUAUAUAUGUAUGUGUAUGUAUAGUAUUAGUAAUCAUCAUGCUAUCAAUUUUGUUAACAAUAUUUUCUAUAUUUAUUAUGGCAUGAAUCAUAUACAUAUACAUAUAUUUUUUAAACCCUAAAACUAAGGAGUCAUUUAUUUUCUAAACCCUAAAACUGAGGAGUCAAGUAUGUAAAAAAUACCUAAAAUAUCUAAAUAGGAAUAUAUAUAUAUAUGUAUGUAUGGCAUACUGCCGGGAUACAAAAUCAAUUACCAAAAUCAUGCCAUUAAUUUUCGGUUCGGUAAAAUGCCAAAACUAUAUCAUACCAUCAUGAGCCGCCCAGUAUGGUUCGGUCGAUAAAUUAGUUUAUGGCAAAAUUUCCCACCCCUAGAUAUCACUUUUAACCAAAAAAAUAUAUAUAUAUCAGAGUAGAGAUAAGAUUCCCCUUUCCUUUCACUCACUCGCACUCAACUCUCAGACCGUCGAAACCCUGUCGUUGAAAUUUUUUUACAAUGGUCCCAUUCGUUUCUACUUUUGGGUUUGAUUUCACCUGCGUUUUAUUCUUUCACCUGCUAUUAUGAUUUUUUUAGUGGUCCCAUUUGUUUCUUCUUUUGGGUUUGAUUUCAUAUGCAUUUCUAUUCUUUCAUCUGCUUUGGUGGUUUUUUUUUACAGUCGACCCAUUUCUUUGAUUUUUUUUUUCUUAGUUGUCUAGAUUCGUUGACAAUGAUUAAUGUAUUUGAUUAAUCAUUAAAAGUUGAUAAUGUUGUAUUUGAUUAAUCACUAAUAGUUGUUAGUGUUUGGGUAAUUAAUUAACAUUGGGCUGAAAAAUAUUAAAAGCCCAAGCAUGCAAGGGCUUUUUGAAUUUGGGUUAGUUGAAGCACAGGCCCAAGACAGAAUUAAAUAUUAUUUCUUGGCAGCCAAUAGACAGCAAGUCUACGAUGGAAGUGGUAAGGAACAAAUGACAGCUCACCUUCCGUUAAAAUUAAUUACUCUUAGAUGUCAUUUGUAAGGAACAAAUGACAGCUCACCUGCAAUCCACUUAUAGGCCCUAUGUCAUAAAUCUAUGUCCUUGAUUUUGUGCGUGAUUUAAAAGGGAUUGAAGGUAACCAGUCAGCUGACGUUGCCUCUCCUUACUCCAUUACAUCACUGACCUUGAACUGCGUGGCCAAAACAUUUUCUGACAAAAGUGGACGCGGAGAAAAUGGUAGAGUUAGUGAUGGAGAAUUCGCAGUUGGAGACCACGGAGGGCCCGCAGAUUUUGUCGUGUAUGAUGAUAGCAAAAUCACCUUAUUGGCCUGAUGUCAUGAAAGUUGAACGAAUAUACGUAAGAGUCGUGUUCUUCUAANUGUCAUAUGAACUUGUGCAUAUUUUUCAAUUUGUCGUAUAAACUAAAAUUUUAAGCAAUUUGUCAUACUAACUUUCUGAAAUUAUCAAUUUAUCAUCUCACCUAACUCCGUUAAGUUUUUCAUAAAAAAUAAGUCAUGUGCCUCGCUUUCUAAAAUCAUCAAUUUAUCAUCUCACCUAACCCCGGUAAGUGUUUCAUAAAAAAUAAGUCAUGUGCGAGGCAUAUGACUUGUAUUCAAUGUUAUUUCUAUCAUUUAAGAUCUUUUUAUUAAAACUCUUAAAUUUUGGGUUCGAGAGUAUUCAUGCGGAUCGUUGUGCUCGAGUAUAUGCAUCUACAUUUCCAUUUCUAGCACCAAACAUCAACUCGUUUCUUAUAUUACAGAGCCCAUAUAAAAAGAUUUUAUGAUAUGCUAAACUGAACACUGUAGAAUUGUUUUAAUUGAAUGCAACAUAAUAGAAGGAAGUGAGAUGUUAAAAUGGUAGAAAUAACUCUGAAGACAAGUCAUGUGCGAGGCAUAUAACUUAUUUUGGAUGGAAAACAGAGUUAAGGUGAGAUGACAAAUUGAUAAUUUCGGAAAGUUGACAUGAUAAAUUGCUUAAACUUUUAGUUUAUAUGACAAAUUAAAAAAUGGGUACAAGUUCAUAUGACAUUUUAAAAAAAUUUCCCUUAAAACUCAAAAUGGGUACAAGUCCUUCCGACUCGAGGUUGUCGGUUUGCUCUGGCGCUGGUGCCCGAUGAUGAAAGUAACCAAUCUCCAAAAAUUAACAAAAAAAAUUUCAGUCAAUAAGGAAAGAAAUUUAGAACAAUAAUCCAACCCAUCAUUUGCUUCAAUUUGAUUUUUGAAUUCGAACAACUAGAGGUCGGCACGGUCUAAUUCAGUUCGGUCCAUUUUUUAAUCCAAAAUCGAAGAACACCAGUUCAGUUAAGUUUAGUUCAAUUUUACUUAAAUCUAUUAAUGAAACCAAGCAGUGCGGUUUCGGUUUAGUUUGACCGGUUAUUCAUUGUAAACCGAAUUAUAUAUAAACUUUUUUAUUAGCACUCCAUAUUAAAAUUUAAUAUUAGAUGACUUAUAUACCCUACAACCAAGCCAAAUGUAGAAGAUGUAUAACACUGAUGCAUGUAAAGAGCAUUGUUAUGUAUCAUUGGUGCAACACAGUAUGUUACACAGCGUAUAAUUUGCCUUUUUGAUUAAUUGAAAACGGGACGAAAAACGGAAGUGCACAAGGAAGGAGGAGAAAAAAGGUUGGGUGGGGUGUGAGGAUAUUAAGGGAAAGUGUGUGGCUAUAUUAUGAUAAAUUUUAAUUGUAAAAGCAAUUGUGUGAUGUACUGUAUGCUUAACAAUAUGUAGGAUGUUAAUAUAACAAGCUUUAUAUAUACUAACCUUUUUGCACGUACUUAUGCACUUGCAAAAUGCCUUUUUACAUCACGACGCGUUACUCACGGCUUACGAAUUUCUCUUUUCCUUUUUACAUUUGGUCACUCAUAAAGACAUUCUUAUAAUUAUUUUUAAUUUGUAACCUACAUUAUGAAAGGUAUCAAAUUAAUAAACCAAGAAAUCAAGAAUGUCUUUAUGCGUGGAGUCAAGUAUUAACUGGAGAUACAGAAGCAAAUCAAAUUAAUUUAUAUAGGUCACAAAUGCUAUUCAUUAUGUAAAAUUAAAUUAUUGCUCCUAUCAUUUGUGUCCAUUCUUGAUUUGUUGAUAUCCACUUCAAAUUUCCGUCGUAUUCCUACACAAACCAAAAAAAAAAAAAAAGAACACAAUAAUUUUUUUGACAAAAGAAAAAAUAACAUGAGGAAACAAUAUAUGCAAUAACAGUGACUUGCAUAUUAAUAUCAGUGCAGAGAGAGCUAUAUAUUCUUCUGUACCGAGAGAAGAGUAAUUUAAAAGACAAAAAUUCUCUUGCCCACCCCUAAAAACUAAGGGUGCGUUUGUUGCGCCGGACUGUCUCGGACUGGACUAGCUGCCGGGACUAAGCUGGACUGGCUUAGACUGGACUAAGCUGGACUAACUUAGUGAAGCGUUUGGUGUAAUGUCGGACUAAGAAGCAGGAUAAGAAAAACAGUACUGUUCACCAGAUUUGUGUUUGCUUAGACUAGGACCACAAAUUUUUGCCAUUGUGUAAUAGAGUAAUGCUACAAAUCUCAUGAUAUGGGUUAAUUGGAGCAUAUUUUUGCCAUGUAUAUUAUGAAUCUUAAAAAAAAUUGACAAUUGUUUUGUUUUUAUUACCUGCUAAUAGAAUUGGGUUUAAUUUGCAAAUGUAGCUUGGUUUAAACUCUAUCACCCAACAGAAGAAAAAAUAAAUGCCCAAUACAUGCAACUUCAACAAAUACAAGUACAUAAGAAGAUCUCCAUAAUUUAGAAAAUCCUAGUUAACAUUAGUUAACAUUAGCCAAAAUAGAUCUCCAUAAUUUACAAAAUGGCUAGUUAACAUAAGCCAAAAUACUAGUGCAAAGCUAAGUUAUAAGCCAUAACAUAAGAUUGUAUGAUUAAUAAAAUACAUCCAUGUUAACAUUAGCCAAAAUCCUCAUCCGCUUGCGUUGUCGUUUAAAAGCCUUUGGACGAACACUUUCUUGAGUUCCGGUUUGAUUGCCCUGAACACUCCCACAUUUUUUGGUUUAUCCAAAAUAAGAGACAAUGCAUCAAUUUGAUCCAUAGGAGAGAGGCCCAUUGCUUCAAGUUCAUUAGCUAUGUCAGUAUGAUCUGCAGUACCUUGAACUAAAGCUUCAGUUACCAUUUGCAUCCUUUUCCCACUUUCAACAUAAAAAUCUUUCAGUCCACUGAUAAUUGCCUCGGUUUCAUCACUUGAACUUCCCACAGCUCUUUUCCUCUUUCUCUGGCUAUUUUCAGAUGGGGUGCUUUGUUGGCUUUGUUGGUUCAUUGAAGAAACAAAAUUUUCACCUCCAAUAUCAUUUUCACCAACAUGAUCAUGACUUUGUUCCUCCACCAUUUGAGCAGGGGUUUCGGCUACAUUACCCGUAGCCCGAUCUUUUCCAAAUAUAUAUGCAAAUCUAUCAAACAGUGGAAAAGGUUUGCUUCUCCAUCCAUUGGCUUCUUUAUUUCUCUAAGAUUAUAUCAACAUAGCAAAACUAAAAUUUAGCAUGCGUAACAAAUAUAGCAGCAAUAAUAUAACUAAUGUAUAAAUAAAAUAGGAUAUGAACCUGCACAUAAGUUUGCCAUGAGUCAUCACUGUCAACUUCAACGCACUUUUUGACAUCAUUCCAUGCAAAUCCACUUGUGUUUAUCAUGUCAACGACCAUACUAUAUGUUUUUUCCAUUUCUUCAACUUGGACUCAAUAUGUGGAUUUACCUUUAUAUUUGAAUGAGGACAUAAAACAUUGACAGCUUUUGCUAUUUCAACCAAAGUACCUUGUUUGAAAGCACCGGUGUCACACCGUUGCUUCCGAGCAACAAAAUCCUCAAGAACUCCUAGUAAUGCUUCUUCCUCAAAUGCUUCCCAUUUACGCCUUCUUCCUUUUGGCUCUUGAGUAGCAUUCAAAAUAUUUUCGUUAUCCAUACCUAAACAAAAAAAUAUUUGAAUGAAGGAAAAUACCAUACAAAUAAUCAAUUUGCAUAAUAUCCAAUCAACUUGCAUAAUAUCCAAUCAACUUGCAUAAUAUCCAAUUAAUUUGCAUACCAUCCAAUCAUUGUGCUAAUAUCUAACAAAUGCAUGAUAAAAAGGAAUACUAAAAUAAAAUGUUAUCAUUAACACAUAUAGCUAGUUCGAUUGCUGGUUCCUAAUUGCUCUCCACUCGUUAUACAUUUCCUGAGCCAUGUCAUUCCUCUUUGCAGUCCACUGGUCAGAUGUUUGAACACUACCAACAUAUUCACCUUCUUCUGUAUUUUGUCCAUCUUCUAUUAUUGGCAAAUUCUCCAUUGGAUCUACAGACAUCUCUUGCCUAAUAAGAUUGUGUAGUAGGCAACAAGCGGUAAUUAUUCGACCUUGUGUCCUUAUCAGAUAGAAAGAUGGACUCCUUAGUAUCGACCACCUUCCUUUUAGCAAGCCAAAACAGUGUUCAAUUACAUUCCUUGCCUUAGAAUGCUUCAUGUUAAAAUAUUCUUCCUUAUUAGAAGGUGUUCGUCCCUCCCAUUCAGAUAAAUGAUAAGGUAUUCCUCUAUAGGGUGCAAGGAAUCCUUCACCAUUUGUAUAACCACCAUCUACAAGGUAAUAAUAACCUAAUGAAAAAAAAAAAAAAACAGACCUUAUUAGUGUUUUGUAGUUGACAAACAGAACUAGACCUAACUUAGAAAGUUGAGACUAAGUAAUAGUCUUACCCGCUGGUACCUUAAAACCAUUAGGCCUAGUAAUUGCAUCAUGUAGCACUCUAGAGUCUGAUGCGGAACCCUCCCACCCCGGAAACACAUAUAUGAACUGCAUAUCUCCUGAACACACACCUAACACAUUAGUUGCGACUCGACCCUUUCUUGUUCGGUAUCUUGGUUUGUCAAUUUCAGGUACAUGCACAUCAAUGUGUGUUCCAUCCAAUGCUCCCAAGCAAUUCUUAAAAAAAAAAAAAAAAAAGUUUUUGUUAAUUUAUACAAAGGGAAUGAAGAGUUAAAGCUUAGGGAAAAUGAAAAAAAAUUCUCAUCAUACCUUAAAACAUCGCCACCUAGGAUCUGUAGAAUCAAUAGGCACAGGCUGAGGGACUUUUAGUAGGAUACCUUGUAAUCGUAAAAUUCCUUGCAAUACGCUAUUGAAAUACCUACUUAUAGUCUCUCCCGACCUAUAAAAUCUACCGCCAAUACUACGAUUCUUAGUAUGAUGUGCUAGUAUUUGUAAAGUCAUACACACCUGCUCCUCUACAGACACCAAACCAUCAGUUUUUACCCUCCCAUCUUGACGAAGUAAGUCACAUAAUAAGGCAAAAGUCCUUCUAUCCAUUCUCAAUUCGUUGACACAUUCAAUAUCAGUAUUCCCUAUUAUACCAUUCAGAUAACACAAACUAAUCUCUCGUCUAACAAGUGAACGAUUAGUCAAAGUGGGUCGUUCAACAUGUCUCUGUUUGGCCCUUAGCAUCAUCACCACAAGAAUCGUACAAAUGCAAAUUGUCUCUAAAUGAGACAUCUCUAACAAUAAGAUCAAUAAAAGCUUCCUUCGAUCCAUAUCUAUCCAAACAAAAAAAAAAGGAAAAUUAAAUAAGGACAUUAUAUAUGUAAUAUUUACUGUUAUUAAGGGUGAUGAAAAUGAAGUGAUUAUGAUUCGAAAUGAACUAGAUCAAAAUAAACGCUAUACAAAGAAUUCUGAAACAAGUAACUGCAUUAACAGCCCAAAAAAUAAACAGCCAAGUCACAAUUAAUGUUGGAUCAACAAAAAGAAAAAAACCAGUCAAGUCACAAUUGCUAGGCAUUGCAUGUUAAAAUGGAAAUUAAAUGACACCUGUGAAGCGGUAGUCUCAGCCUUAUCCUUCCGUUUAUGCUCCUCUUCUCUGCAACUAACAACCACAGAAUAUUGCAGUUCAGCAUACAAAACAUUCACAUUGUAAUAUCAUGGUUAUAAACUAAAUAGACACACACACUUAUUAUAGAGCACACACACACACACUUCCAGUGCAGUACACAAACACAUACACAUAGUACACACACACACACACAUACACAGAAAUUAGAUACACACACACACAGGCAGUACACAAACACACACACACACAGAAAUUAAACACACACACACAGUACACACACACACAUACACAGAAAUUAGACACACACACACAGUACACAAACACACACACACAGAAAUUACACACACACACAUACACAGAAAUUAGACACACACACACAGACACAGACACAAACACACUCACACUCACACUCACACACAAACACAGUCACACACACACACACACGGAGACAGAGUGCAACACACUCAUACACUCACACACACACUCCGUUUUUACACUCACACACACACACUCACACUCACACUCACACACAAACACAGUCACACACACACACACACACACGGGGACAGUGCAACACACUCUUAUCCUCACACACACACUCCGUUUUUAUACUCACACACACACACACAUAUUACAUACACACACACACACAUAUUACACUUACACACACACACACACACACGGCACAAUACACAACACACACUACACAAACACACACACACACAUAUUACAUACACACACUACACAAACACACACACACACAUAUUACAUACACACACACACACACACACACACACAUAUUACACUUACACACACACACACACGGCCACAAUACACAAUACACACACACACUACACAAACACACACACACACACAAUACACACACACACUACACUAACACACACACACACACACAAUACACACACACACACACACACACACAAUACACACACACACACACACACACGGCCACACACACAAUACACACACACACUACACAAACACACACACACACAUAUUACAUACACACACACACAUAUUACAUACACACACACACACAUAUUACACUUACACACACACACACACGACCACAAUACACAAUGCACACACACACUACACAAACACACACACACACACACAAUACACACACAAUACACACACACACUACACACACAAUACACACACACACACACACACACACACACACACACAAUACACACACACACUACACAAACACACACACACACACAUAUUACAUACACACACUACACAAACACACACACACACACAUAUUACAUACACACACUACACAAACACACACACACACAUAUUACAUACACACACUACACAAACACACACACACACAUAUUACAUACACACACACACACAUAUUACACUUACACACACACACACAUUGCCACAAUACACAAUACACACACACACUACACAAACACACACACACACAUAAUACACACACUACACUAACACACACACAAACACACAAUACACACACACACUACACAAACACACACACACACACAAUACACACACACACACACACACACACACACACAACACACACAAACACACACACACACACACAAUACACACACACACACACAAACACACACACACACACAAUACACACACACACACACACACACACACGGACACAAUACACAAACACACACACACCCACACACACAAUACACACACACACACUACACAAACACACACACACACACACAUAUUACAUACACACACACACACAUAUUACACUUACACACACACACACACAGCCACAAUACACAACACACACACACACACACACACUACACAAACACACACACACACACACAAUACACACACACACUACACAAACACACACACACACACACAGAGUAUACACACACAGAUUACAUACACACACAUAUUACACUUACACACACAGAUUACACACACACACACACACAGAGUAUACACAAACAGAGAUUACACGAGUAUACACACACACACAGACAAACCAGAGUACACACAGACAUAGUAUACACACACACGCACACACACACAGACACACACAGAGAUUACACACACAGAUUCUAAUCUCAAUUUGACCUAAAAAUUGAUUUUGAAGUUUACCAGAAAAGUUGAAAUACGAAAACCCCAAAUUCUAAUCUCAAUUUGAACUAAAAAUAUGAAAACCCCAAAUUCUAAUCUCAAUUCGACGAAAUCAAUCGAAGAUUUGAAGCUUACCAGACUGUCUCCGACCAGAUGAGGGCGAGAAGACGCAGAGAUGAGGGUGAGGAGGAGGACGACGAGGAAGCAGGGCAAGGUCGACGACGAGCGACGAGCAGGACGAGGGACGUUGGGGAUCCUCGCAGAGAUGAGGACGAGCAGGACGUUGGGGAUCCUCGCGGUUUUCUCUCCGGGCUUACGAGUCCGCCCAAAAUUGGGGUUCUUCGUUAAGAACUCGUAAGGAGGCGUGUAAUCCGAGCGAGUCCCACCUAAGCCCAUUAAAGCUAAUCCGGUUGCACAUCAAACACAGGACUAUAGUCUAGUCCAGUCCAAGCCUUGCUAAUCCUGUCAAACAAACGUGCCCUAAAGGUGUCAAACGGUCCAGGUGUCAUAUGGGCCUAAGCCGUUCUUGGACCAUGCCACUAAACAAGCGGCUAAACAAACUUUAGUUAUUUUAUAUUAUCAGAAAAAAUUAUUUGAAUCUAGUUUAAAACCUAAUAUCACAAUUAUUUAGUCUUAUUAGUUCCAAAAUGUAUGUUUUACUUGAAAAAUAAUGAAUAAAUAUAUUAAUAUUUAGUUAUGUAUUAGUUUAAAUGGGAUAGUCAUCAUAAUAGCCCCACGUCAUGGGCCGUGCUUGGCCAUGAUGAAUCACGGCCGGGCCAACCUAUUGGACCUAAACCUUAGGACCGACCUAGCCACUCAUUGCUAAUCAUGCCAUGUAGUGCCUUAUCUAAAUGAGCUUGUGUCGUGCCUAUUUUAAUAAGGCACGGCCAUUGACAUAGUUCAUUGUUGCGGUUUCCCUUUCUGUUCUUAUUAUCUCACAAACAUACUAUUUCAUUCACCGUCCGUAAUUUUCCAUUUUACAAUGGGAAAGGGGGGUUGCAGUUGUGUGUGGAGGAUUUCUAUCGGGGUCCUAUGUGUUUAAUUAGUCAUUUAUGAUUUAUGAAUGUUAAAGUUUCCUCCUGUAUAAUGAAUUUGUAUUAUCUUCCUGGUUUCUCAACUUAUAUGUGAUUGUAUGGGAGACAAAAAUGGAUCUUGUAAAGAAGUCGUUGAUGUCCUCAAAAAAUGGAUGCUUUGGUGGUAAUUACUUAUGUUCUAACUUCUAAUCAUAUUGGUCCUUUAACCAGCAACUGCCAAUAGUUAUGCUAAAAUAUGAUUUCGAAGCCAUUUAGCACUAUGGUCUAGUGAUAUUUUUAUUCAUUUAUAAGUGAGGGGUCUAAGGUUUGAUUCUCGCCAAAUGAGAAUUUGAACCAUAUUAUUGCCAGCACAUUGUAAGGUUAAGCUCACCCCUCCCUUUCAGUGUAGAUAAUAUUGUUUGUUAAAAAAAAAAAUAUGACUUUGAAAUGGAAAUAGGGUGGUGUUAAGCACACACCUCUUUUUAUCUUUUACACACACUCUCAAUUUUCGACCGUUGGAUCAAAUGAAUUGAUGAGGAUUAAGGGAUAAAAAUUCAUGGAAGGUAACAGCCACUAGAUUAUGUCUACAACUACAUAUAUGACGCAAUUAUCGUUUUACAUUUGAAACUAGAGAAAUAGAACACCUUGAUCCAAAGGACCGGAAUUACAAAUGUUUUGACAAGUAGAUAACAGCUUUCCUGCCCUUGGAACUUAUUCAGCCUAAAACACCAAUUCAAUUUUAGUUCGAAUAAAAAAUGUUGGGAAAAUUACAAGAAAAUUGACUUGCUCUUUGCUUUGUUAUUAUGUACUGUUAUUCUGUACAAAAUGAUCCUACCUAAUUCACCAAUUCGGGGUAUAAUAAAAUUAUAUUCUUCUAAAAAGCAUGUAGACAAUUAGGCUAAAACGCAAGUAUAUCGCUCUCCUUAAGGAGAUUAAAGUUCACUGCGGUUUAACAAAGUCCACGGACAGAUGCAGCAGUAUAUCCCAUGACUUGUUCCCUCCAGAAUACAAUAGCCCAACAAAAUUGUUUUAUGACUCAAACCUAUCUGCACAAAAGGAAGAGUCCAAAGCUCAACUACACGAACACUCAUCUUUGGUCAGUAUGUAAAAACGGAAAAGAUGGAGGAAUAGAGAGAAUAAUCGUUGUAGAAGAAAUUAGGUAGGGGGAUAAAAUAAAAGAAAACAAAGGAUGAUGGAGAAAAUGCUACUAAUUAUAGAUUUAUUAUCACCCUUAGUGGAUAAGGUAAUAUACACAAAUUAAAAAGACAAAAGUUAUAAAAGUUACAUAAGAUGAACUGCUCAAAGACUCCAUCUUAGUUUUCCCACUAACAACAAAUAAUGACAACUGUCUUAACUUCUCACUUACAACAAACUAGCCCUUCUACACACGCCUUGCGUGUGCAAAAAAGUCUUUUUUUAUAUCAUGGUGUGUUACACGUGGCAUACAGAGUUUUUAUCCCCUUCACAUUUGUGCAUGCAUAAAAACAUCUUUGCUUCAGAAACACUUUAUACAUGUUCUACAUGCAUUGAUUUUAUAUGUCCAUAAUUUUCCAUAUUAAGGGAGUGAUAAAACUACUUUUGAUUGGGGCCUAUCAACCCUCCUUCAACUUUUCCAGAGGUUGUUGCCAAUUAAGAAAUUUGUGUACUUUACGGCAGCAGAGUUGAUAGGGGCCUCUUUAGUAGCCUAUAAACUCCAUUCCUGCAUGGCUUUUAUAUUCUAGACAAAACAAAAUGUAACUUAAGAGAAUGUAAAACAGUAAUUUUCUACGAACAUUUGUCCGAAGUAUCUAAGACAGUUGGAACUUUUGGCUGCCACAUCCGUUCGGUAUCAAAAUGAAUAGUUGAUUUUGUAAAACUACGCAAUCCCUCACGCAGAGUAAGGGAACAUUGUAAAUUAUCAAAAGAAUAUACUGAGUUUUUAUAUGUGAAAUAAGUGAAGAGACAGAGGAAUCAUGCAUACUCCAAUGACAAUAAAAUUCACUGAAUCUAAAUAACUAAUGUUGCCAAUGUACCAUACAAAAUUAGCAAGCAAAUCAAGAAACUACCGAUGAGAAUAUAAUGAUUCCACUUUUAUCUUCCAACAUUCUGAAAACCUAUCAAACAGAAGAUAAAUUUUCAAAAUUGUUAGGAAUACAAACUCCCAAACAUGUACAUGCUGAUUGAACCAACUCACUCAAACAUUCAACUCUGAUCGAAUUUGGAUCCUGAUUUCUUCCUUUUGCCGCAACAAUUUUCUCACCACAUUUUAUAUUCUUUCUAAUUCCUUGGGCCAAAGAAUUCUUCCUGCAACACAUUUGUUUCUGGUUUCAAAAAGACGAAUUAACAUAAUCAAACCACAUCUCUUGGUGUUCAUGCUUCAAAGGUGCCUGUGCAAUAGAAUAGCAUUAGAAAUAAGUGAAGAGACAGAGGUAGAUAACCUAUAGUCGGACAAACAAACGUAAAGAAAUCCAAAAACGAUCAUCCCAAACCUGCACUAACCGAAAUAGAAUCGAAAUUAAAACUAUGAUUCUGAUUCGAUAGAGAACUGAGGAAUAGCCAAGCUAGGAAUACCAUAAGUGCUCGACAGAUAGUCGAAUUGAUGAAAACACAAACGAACAACAUCAGUAACGAAUCAUGGUGUUCUUUCAACUACCCGAUCAAAAGGACAGAAGAACAUUCCUGUGUGAGAAGUGCCUGAAGGGAUAAGCAAGUAAUAUAAGUAAAGGAGAAUUGUUAAGUAAACCAAACUUGAACAAAACUAAAGGAUGGUUAAGUAAACCAAACUUAAGCAAAACUAAAUCUCACAUAAGAACCUUUGGGUAUCAGUGGAGAAGAGAUUGCUUUUGAAUUUCACAAUGGAGCAAUUGAUUUUAUUUCUCCGCUUCCGCGAAACAGUUUUCUCACGUGUUCGCAUUUUCCCUCCUUCGUUUACACUUCUACACAGCGAGGUUUAUCAUGUUUGUAGAAUAAUGCUUCUACAAAAGAGAGUCUCUAUCUAUAUGUGUAAUUAAGCAGAAAUUAGAGUUGCAAUACCAGGAUGUGCUCCAUGUAGAUUGCAGAAUGUAACCAUGAACAUCGUGAAAAAGUAGGCGAAGCACAAAUGGGAAGAGGCCAUGAUGUUUUUUUUUUUAGUCAAAAAAAGGGAGAACCUUCAAAACAAAGUUGAAUUCUCAAGAAAACUGAACAAAGUAGAAUAAAAACAAUCUAUCAGUCUUAAAUCGUGAUUGACUCAAAAACAGAAGAGGAACAAUGAGCUUCACAAUGCACAAUUUGUGUUUUUGCUGGAGUCUAGUAACUGUUGGCAGCAUCGUAGAAUGAAAUUGAAAACAAAAAUUUGUUCAAACCAUUCGAAGUAGCAGGAACAAUGAAGCUUCUUCCCUCCUUCUCUAAUGUUGGAUUUGUGAAUUAUUGAAUGUGGAUUUGUGAGUUCUUGGGAGUUUAUUCAUCUUCUCAGUUAGUUUGUGGCAGUUUACUCCCAGUUGAGUUGAUAUCUGAUGACAAUCAAGCUGAAACCGAGAUCAAAUAUGGGGAUUUAAUCUAAGCGCUUCUAUUUGGACCCGAUUUUACAUCAUCGGCCCAAGCAAUCGAGGCCGUUGAGUGGGCAUGAUUCUCGACCGCUAGAUGAGAAAGUAGAGAUAAUUUGAUUAUUAAAGGAUAAUAUUAUAAUUAUCUUUUAAUAUGAAUUAUCUCGGUAUCUUCUUAAACCAGAUAAAUAGAAUGCGAUUCAUAUCCCGAAUAAGCAGUACAAUUCGAAUUGAUUUGGGAUGUCUGUCAGCACUGGGAAGUAAGAUGAAUUUAAAAUUCGUUUGAUCAGAAUGAUGAUGGCUAUUGUGGAUGAGGUGAGGAUGAGGUAGGAGACCUAAGGGGUGUUGUCGGAUGAAGUAAAUUGAUGAUGGACAUGGCAUGUAUGCUGUGUCAAAAGCUAUCAGCCAUAUAUAUAUAUAUAUAUAUAUAUAUAUAUAUAUAUAUAUAUAAUUGACGACAUGAGGUCUGCCAAUUCAUGGGAAAGGUGCAACCUUUUAUAUAUAUAUAUAUAUAUAUAUAUAUAUUGGGUGGUUGAUUAGAUGGACGUUACCCAAGCUUGCAGAUUAUCUUGGAUUCGAUAAGAUGAGUUUUAAUUGUUUGGGAGUCUUUUUCAGCUUAUCAACCAGUGCGUAUUCGUCACUAUAAAUACAGAGUCGCCGGCAACGUUCAAAGGACCUCCAAUUCAACACACAACUGCCCUGCGCAAACUCUCUCAACAACUGAGAUUUUUAUUUUCUCUUUUCACUGACACAUCUUCCGUUGGCAUCAACAGCACUGUGAAAGCAACCGGUGAUAUCUUAAGUCGGCAUAGAUAGCUCUGUCACCGUAGAGUCAGCCGAUCUCGCAGCAUCUUCCGUUGGCAAGGACGGUUGGUUACCUAUCCAAGUCUCAGUCGAGAAGGAUUGCCAAAUCCUUAUUGGUCGAGGUCAUCUCAUCAGCCUUCUCGGCGAAGUGAGGUGUUACAAGUUACUACAUUCGGCAUAUUGAAAGCCGAAUUUGAUAUUGAACUUCGCUAAGUUAGCAGCCUUGUUUUUAGGCUCUAGAACCCAAGAGGCCGAGACGUGUUCCUUCCUCGGUCGCAAUCGCGAGACGCAGAAGUCAGCAGCGCACCCAACGCAACAUCAACAAAUUUACUCCUCGGCCGAGCGUGGCCGACGAGUUGGCACGCCCCGCAUUCACCGAAGGACGUAGUUAGCUUAUAGAUUACUCGGCCUGCGCGCCACGUAGGCUUGGUAGUUUCUAGGUUCAACAACUUCAAACCUUUUAAGGGCAGGGAUUGAGUUUGAAAAAGGGGAAGACAAUUUAUUGAACAUAACUUUGAGUAAUGACAAACUCAGAAUUCCACCAGUGUAUAUUCACUUGACUUCGGAUUCACUCUUCAGGAACCUCGUGGCUUAUGAGCAAUGCAGUCUUAGAGGUACGCAUCACAUUACCUCAUAUUUGAUACUCAUGAAGAGUCUCAUCACUUCCACAAGGGAUAUAAGACUUCUUCGGAGAAGAGGAAUCAUAAAUCUACUAAAUCGCAAUCGCGUUGGGGACCAAGAAUAUUUCGCUGAAUUCAAAACUAAACUGAAUACAGUUGUUGUGAAGGACUUCUGCUUCGGAAAGUUGUGUGACGAAGUGAAUGCAUACAGUAAGUCCUGGUUGCCCUUGAGCAAACAUAACAUUCGUUGACAUGCAAAUUUCCUUUGUCGCACUUAUUUUUCUAGUCCAUGGAGUAUCAUAUCAUUCGUUGCUGCUGCAGCUCUCUUUGUUCUUACUGUCAUCCGGACAUACUAUAGCAUUCACCCGCGCUAAUGUGUAAUUGUUCCGAGUGCAGUCGAUCUUAUGCCUCCGCUGAGUUCCUUAAUCGUUUAUGUAAUGUAAAUUUCAUUGUGUGCUAAGCUGAGAUGGUUUAAUUGGUUUAAUUGGUUGUUUCGUUUUUCUUCAAAUUGCAUGAAAAUGAGCUUAGAUUCUAUAAAUUUUGAACGUUAAUUCUUUAAAGGAAAAUUACCUUUCUGGAUUUCUCCUUGAAAGCAUAACCAACCAUAGCGUGGGACGCUUUAUUACAAGUUCUUGGAAUGAACUUAAAAAUAAUAUCUCUAAAUUGGGAAGCCAGCAUAUGAAUGUCGUGGAUUAUACAUUCCACCGACACCUCUGAAAUCUCCCCGCUGUUAAUCAUGUCCACCACAGUUUUUGUAUAUGUCUCCACUUCAAUCCGCAAGAAGCCCUUUUCUACACAUUCUGUCAAUCCUGCCUUAUCGCUUCAACUCCAGCCGUCAAACUCGAGCAGCACCAAAAACCACCUGCACCCCUGCUAGCAAUUCACUUAAAGAAGGAAGGACCAAUUCAGUUUUGAUGGAUUUGGGAAAUAUUCGUAGCAGAAGCAACAUAAACAUAUCAAAUGUGCAGCGAUGUUUAGAUAUGUGUAAGGGGGAGAUUUACGUGUAUAUAACUCAAAACUACAUAAACAGAACGACUUUGGAGAUAUGAAACUCGAAGGCUCGGAGAGCUCCUACACGAAACUUACUUGAGAGCUCCUACACAAAACUACAUAAACAGAACGAUUUUGGAGAUGUGAAAGUCUGAAGGGCUCGAACCUUCGUGAAAUUAAACAAAACCUUGAGUGAUUCUUUAAUUAACCCAACUGCUUUUCAGUAAAAACCCAAUUGCUCCUUAGCAAAACUCUCUUAGCUCUUCAACUACAAUUUCAAAGCCUUCCUUCCAAACAAACAUUGUGUACGAUUCCUGAGGUCUAAAACAUUAACAGCUCUGUCACCCUCUUGUAUGAUUCGGCUGAUGUGCAAUUCCAAACACCCUGAUUUCCUCUCUGAGGCUCAUGUUUUGUACUAAGUCAAAUCUGACCAGUAAUCUAGGUGGAUUUCUUUAGCAUUAUCUUGCCCUUCAUGGCCUAAAUCUUGCUAGAGUUUUACUACUUUCUUUACAUUGCCUAUCAAUUUACAUUUCAAAUUAUGUAGUUCUGCCAAUCGGCCUAGAUUUUAGUUUUGUGAAUGUUCGUAAUCUUGACUCCAUCAUGAAAUGAUUACAUUCUGUUUCCCGUUUUAGUUUCUAUUUCGCUUUCAUUUACUUUUUUGGUAAGCAUACACGAAGUUACAAUGAAUAUUAAGUCCUCAUUCACUUGAGGCACAUAAACGAACUUUAUCCAAAUCAACGUCCCACUCAGUGCAUAAUUAUUUGGUUCAGAAAUCAGAUUAACGCGUAACUUGCACACAUGCACAAACGCAAACAUUGUCUAUGUUGACAGUCUCCAACAGUGGCACACCUAUUCUCUCUUCUCUCGAGCCAUCUUGUGGCACUGAGACUGAAAACAAUACUCAUGGCAAAUACGUGUUGAACUGCGUAACCAAGCUCCGUUCAAGUUUUGGCACCAACAACUAUAUAAAUGCAUGUUCAAGUGUGCUAUUUGAGCUGAAUAAUUAAUAUAUGAUUACAGGAAAAAAGGAGAGCUGUGAGCCUGAAAAUAAAUUUUUAUUAUUUUUAUUACCGUUGAAAAUCGGACGGUCCAAUUUAAAGAGCCGUUGAGAUCGAACGGACCGUGGGAAGCCACGUGGCUUCCCAACGGUAACCUCGGCAGACUGCGACGCGAGCCCGUUCUCUGAAAAGCUGUCGGUUGAUGAGCCCCCAUGUGCGGGUGAGUCGCACGCGCCCGACAAAAAAAAAAACAUAAAAUUAGGCUGACGCCAGGAUGACGUCAGCCCUGGCGUCACAUCCACUCAGGCUUUCGAGCUGGCAAUUCCUCACAGGCCCCGGAGCUCGGGCCUUCACUCUCCCUCGGGCUGCCCACGCUGAAGCUUCAAGGCCGGGCUAUCUGGCCCUAUUUCGUCCCCCGAGCACCAGCCCAAGCUAGAGUUGCUCUGAUUGGUCCUCACUUCUCCCUCAUUUAUUUUCCAUCUCCACCGACCAUCUCUCAUUUCCUUUAAUCUGGGCUACACAUGUGGCUUCCUCACUACUCCAGAUUUUGCUGGAACCUUAUAGAAACAAAGAUUAAAUUUACUAAAAUGCCCUCGACUUUAAACGUUGAUAACUCUUUCAUUAUAGCUCCAAAUUACGUUACGUUUGCGCCCACGCGUUCGUAGCGACGAGUACUACGAGGAUACACCAAGAAAAUAGAUCUCACGUGACAUGACAAGGUGGUCAAACAAAGUCAACGCAUUUGCCUCGAAGGGCAUUUUCGUAAAUUCACAUUUUAAAAUUAUAAAAACUAUAAUUUUUGGAGACAGGUCGUUACAUGAUUGACACAACUGAAGCAUAAUUUGUGUUUAUCGUUUGGUUGGCUAUUUUGACUAAUCGAUCCUAUGAGACUUUAUAAAGAUGCUUCCGCAAUUUUGUAUCACUUGAGUCUGCAAUUUUGUUUUAGGGAUUUAGGUCCAAAUAAAUUGAAAUUGGGCAUGGAAAAUAAAAAAAAAGGGGAAAUAAUUUAAUUACACGUUGAAUUGGAGUUUAUAGUUAGUCAUCGGCUAAUUGUCCUUUUUUCUUCUUUUCGGUAAAUUCUGGAGUUUUCUUGAGUAUAUAGGGUUGUCUUCUUUUCCAAAACACCCUCACGCAUGGUGUUGACACCUGCUCCCUAUUACAAAAGCUUUUGGUUCCAAUUGAUUAUCUAUCUAAUGCCAAAAUAAAAAAUUAAAAAAACUAGGAAAAAGGGUUGUGAAUCUGGGUGACGAGUGUUUUAUUCAAACCUUGUGCUUGUGUUUUUCUUUUCAAUUUAUUUUCUCAAAAAAAUAAAAUAAUAAUAAUAAAUUUGUUUAAACUGAGAAUCCGCUUAUUAUUAUGGAAAAACUCAUCCUUUAGAAAUUUUGUAUUUUGGUAGGUUUGCUUGUAUUUUUUGGAUUUUUACUUGAAUCAUUAAGUUCUUUGGAAUUUCAUUUUAGUUGUUCCUCUAUUAUAAUCUUUUGAUAUUAUUUUGAUUUGAUGGAUCAAAUUAAUCUUACGGAUUUGGUCUUUUGGCUUGUGUCAUUUUGUUGGAUUAUAUUGUUAAUUCUUGUAUAAGAUUCAGGAUGCUAAUUACUUUUUCCAUCUUAUGAAACAAGAAGAAGGUAACAAUUGAUUGUGGCUUUCUUCUUUAUAUCGAUGUUGUGAAUUCAUUUAUUUACUAUUGGUUGCUUAUGCUAUUCUAAUUUUGCCUUCCGUUAAUGCUUUGAUGAAUGUGCUAAGGCACAUGUCUGGUUUUAGAGGUUUUGCUAAUAAAAAUCUUCUCUUUGUUUAAGUGGGUUUUGAUCACUGCAAUUUUACAAUUUUAAUACUGAUGUUUUUGUUGAGCAUAUGCAAAUCAAAAAGUCAGUCUUGGUUCUUGAUUAUUUUGAAAUCGAUUUUUUUUUUUUUUUUUGGUAAAACCUUUCCGAAGAAAUGAUAAGAUUUUAUUCCAUGCAAUAUAUUACAAGCAAAGGCUGACAAACAAAAUAAGACCCUAAACACAAUUGGACCUCCCAACUAACUAAACAAAGCUCAACCAAGAGCCCAACACUAUUAACAUAACAAAAGAGACUUUUCGACCCCAGCAUCCGCCGCCAUAAUAGUUUCACGAUCAACCCAAAACAAUCCUCCAACAAUCGCCAAAUCCAAACAAGCAGAUCCGCAUAAACCAUCCACGAAAACCACCCUAAUCGCCUCGAUUUCAGCCAAAAAUUGGAAGAAGCCCGUGCGAAUACCACGAACAACACUGCCACCGAAAGCAGACAGAGAAAAGGAUGUGGUGUUUUAAGCACCUGAGCCGAUGAACCCAUCGAAGCUCUCUCAAAUGGUCGCACCAAAUUGCAAUGAAAACUGACUGCAAAUCGAAUUGAAAGGAGAGAAAUUUUGGGUAGAUCGGGAAAGAAAACUGGGGGAAAAGUUAGCAAAAGAUCUGAAAAGAAGAAACAGAUAACAAAAGGAAAAUCAUUCAUAUCGUCACUAACCUGCGCCUGAUAGACUUUCUAUUUUUUGAUAGACUUCCCUAAUUUAAAAUUUUAUGAAAUUCGGUCUUGUGGUAAUAUUAAAUGGAUUAUAGAUGUUGGUAAUUUUUCACGUUUUUUGGACAAGAAAUAAAUUUAUGGUAAACUUUUAAGUGUGAUACCAUGUUGCUGGAAUUCUACGGACUUCCAGAACAGUCUGUUUGUGAUACUAUUUUGAUAUAUCUAUGUAACUCAAAAAUUCAUGAAAUUUUAGUAUGGUAUACAUUGAGAUGUUUAUUUCAAAUCUGGAAAUUUUCACGAGCAUUGGUUUGAAAAUGAAUUAUUGGUGAAGUUUUUAAUCUCUGGACUAUAUUGCAAAAUUUAUGCGGUUUCUGCACAUUUAUAUCUAAUUCAUUUCUAGAAAUUUUCAUGCACAUUGGGGUAAAAAUAAAUUUUUAGUGAAUUCACAUCGUAUUUAGAAUUUAAUUUUGGUACACUUAUAAAAUCUCAAAAAAAAAUAUGAAUUUUUGGGAAACGUCAGUUUUGUAUGUCUAGUUUAUGUAUGAAAAUGUUUAUGCACAUUGAGUGAAAAGUGAAUUUUUAAUCUCAGGUCUAUACUAUACAUUUUCUACAAUUUAUGCAGCACAUCUCUUUUCAAAUUCGUUUUUGACUCGCUUAUAAUUUAAAAAUCAUGAAAUUGUGUGAAAUGGUAUCCAUAUAUGUCUAGUUCAUACUUGAAAUUUUUCAUGACAACCUAACAAGAAUCGAGAUUUUAGUGAAUUUGCAAAAUAAGCUAGUACUGCUGAAUUUUGGGACUUCAAACAACUAGUUGUGUUUUGAAAUAUUGUUUUCACUGAUUUUUGCACAUUUAUUGGUACCGAUUAUUAGGCAAGUUUAUUGUUCCAAUGUGUCCUUAUUUUAUGCAAAUUCUCAAUACUAAUGACUUUUAUUUGGCAACACUGAUUAAAUUUUGAUUUAAGGACGUAUUGGUUUAUUUUCCUCAAACCAAUAUUUGGUUUGGUCAUAAAUUCUAAAACUCGAAGGCUUGAAGAGCUCCUACACAAAACUACAUAAACAGAAUGAUUUUGGAGAUGUGAAAGUCUGAAGGGCUCGGACCUUCGAGAAAUUAAACAAAACCUUGAGUGAUUCUUCAAUUAACCCAACUACUUUUUAGUAAAAACCCAAUUUCGCUUUAGCAAAACACUCUUAGCUCUUCAAUUACAAUUUCAAAGCCUUCCUUCAAAAUAAAAACUGCCUAGGAUCCCUGAUAUCUAAAAAUUUUACAUCUCUGCCACCAUGUGGUAUGAUUUGCUUCAUGUGCAAUUCCAAACACCAUGAUUUCCUAAUUGAGGUGCAUGUUUUGUACUAAGUUCAAUCCGACACCAGACACCACUAAUCUCGGUGAAGUUCUUUAGCAAUAUCUUGCCUUUCAUAGCCAAUCUUGCUAGAGUUUUACUGCUUUCUUUACAUUUCCAGUCAAUUUACAUGUCAAAUUAUGUAGUUCAGCCAUCGCCCUAGAUUUCACUUUUGAAAAAGUUUGUAAUCUUGACUCCAUCAUGAAAUGAUUACAUUUUAUUUCCCAUUUCAUUUUCUAUUUUGUUUUCAUGUAUUUUUUUAGGCAAGCAUAUGCAAAGUUACACUAAAUGUUAAGUCCUCAUUCACUAAGGGCACAAAAAAGAACUUAAUUGCAACAGUGUCCCAUUCGGUACACAGUUAUUUGGUUCAAUAGUCAUAUUGACGCGCAACGUACACAUGCUCAAACACAAACACUAUCAAUUGGCAGCCUCCAAUAGUGACAUGUCUAUUUUCUCUUCUCUCGAGCCAUAUGAUGGCACUGAGAUCGAAAGCAACACUUGAGACAAAUACUUGUUAAACCCCGCGCCCUAGCUCCGUCCGAGUUUUGGCACCAACAGCUAUACAUGCAUGUCCUAGUGUGCUAUUAGGGCUGAAUAAUUAAUAUAUAAUUUGUUCCCAAUUGCAUAGAAGUUCUUUUAUUAAUUUCAAAAUCAUAAUAUGGAUUUAUUCACAACGCAACUUUGUAGGCAACUUGGGGGCUGGACUAUAGUUUGAAAAGAAACAUCACCAAUGGCGGAUCCAGGAUUUCAAGAUCGGAGGUCCCAAGAUAAAAGUUCAAAACAAAAAAAAUUAAACUAGUGUGGUUCCAUAUCACUAUUUUUAUUGAAUUUGGCUCAUUAAAUAAUCGAAAUUAAUCAACCACAUCAAGUGGCCCAGUGGUAAGGGCACGAAUUUCGACUCUCAACAUACAAAAAACAGGAGGGUCCCGGAUCCAAGGCUCCAAGCUAAUGAGUCUGCUUGACUGUGGGCAAGAGAAAGCUGAAAUGCCUCUAUGAGUCUUCCAGGCCCCUAGAAGGGGUGGAUAACCGUGGCUUGCCACUAGUUGUCCCGCUUUAAAAAAAUAAUAAUAAUCAAGAUUAAACUCAAAGGUAAUAAAACCAACAAAUUCUCCUCAGCAACAUAACAUGUCAAUUAAUGACUCUACAAAGAUGAAAUUUGUUAAUGUAACAUAUAAUUACAAUUGGGAGCUGAGACUAGAGUCUAGGAUUAAAAAACUUAAAUGAAUUUGGAAGAAAUAAAAUUAGGGAGCUAGAGGUGGUGGAAUGGCAAAUGGUGUUGGGGGAUUGGGUAACUUGAGUUUAAAUUUGGGAGGUUGCGACGAUUUGGGGUUGGAGUUCUUAAACAUAAUUUGGGGAUACUGGAAAGGACCGGGGUUCUCAAGCUCUGUAUAAAAAACAUAGAUAUUUUAGUUUUUAAAUCUUUUAUAAUUACCUGGCUAAAAAACGCUGUCGUUUCGGCAAGGUCUUUUAAAAAAAAAAUGAGAAACCUCUUCUUCUUUGUUAUAAGCACUGCUGGAUGCACAUCCAUGGAGGCAACAAGCCUCUCCAAUCCACCUGCCCAAAUUGUUGGAGGGUCCCGAAGGUCGAUCACAAGUGUUUCUUCGGACUUCCAGAGGGUCCUAGGACCUCCCGGGUCCCUAAAUGGAUCCGCCCAUGACAGUAAGAUGAUAUUUUAGUCUUAUAAGCACACCCCCAGGGUUAUUGGCGUAGGCAUCUUCACACUUGUACACAACAUCAAUGACCCGAGUUAAAUUGAGAAUGCGGAUUAGCAGGGGCAUGGGGAUAGCGGUAGGGUGGAGGAACGCUUCGUUUUUGUCCUUCCAUGCAUUAUUCACUUGUCUUUGAAGUUUGAUUAUCGCUUCUUCUUCUGUGGCCCCAUGUGGCCCCAUAUUUCUUCACGUAACAGUUCAUAGCUGAGAUAAAAUGUUCUCUCUCUUGCUCAAACUAGACACCCAGCUAGGUUGCAACUCACUUAGACAUAAAAUAGAUAACUUUCAUUUUGCAUUAUUUUUUUAAUAAAUUGUAAGAAACUUGUUGAAUACUAAAAUGAACACAAAUUAUAUGCUUGUUCCUCAUGUUUUCAUUAUGUUUCAAUACUUCAUAAUAUAUGUCAUUCUAUUUUGUAAUUUAUGAUGUAAUUAUAAAUAUAUUUUAAGUAUAAACAGACACUUAUUAAACGAAAUAUAACAGAUUUACUUAAAUUCGCCUAAUCCGCCAAGCCCCACCUAGCCGCCUAGGCGCUAGGUCCCAUCCUACUGCCCGACUAGCGCCUAGCGUUUUUUAGAACCUUGUUUGUUUAUACACAUAUGGUAAAGCAUUUGCGGCACAUUUUUCUGGCCUUGUAAAACCUUUAGACUCAAUACUAAGCAUAUAUUGAAGAAUAGUACCGCUUCUCUUGCAUGGUGGAUGCGAUAUAAUUUUCCAUUGUGCGCAAACUUUUCAUGAAUUUCACUAUAUAUAUCCAACAAUGCCUGAUAGCAGACUUUCAUAUACUCUGGUAGUUGAUUUAUGGCUGAGACAUCCCACCUGAUCAAGUAAUACAUAAAUCAAUUGUGCAUAAUUAGGUUAGUUUUUCCUUUUUGAUCGGAUGGUGAUAUAAGGUAAGAUAUUUUAUAUAUAAGAGAAUUUUAACUAAUGAUAUAUUCAUGCCUCUCAAUAGCUUCAGUAAAGAGCUCCAGUUGUUCAUUUGUGCCAUAUUCAUAAACGUCAUCGAUAAUGGAUAAUUAUAGCAGUAACUUUGCAAGAUGUCCUCCUAGCAAAGGAAUAUUGAGGCUGAAAGUAGACUGACAAACUCCAGCAGAAGUAGACCUCUACCAAUCUGUCUCUUGCAAAAGGGAGCUUGUUAGGCACGUCCAAGUCCUUCCACCACCUGAUCAGUUACAAAAAUAAUUAUUUAGUAGCAAGAGGUGGAGAAUUCAACUGUUUAGUAAGUGACUAGUAAAAGUGCCCGCACGGAGUUGGGGUUUUAAAAUCAUGUAAAAUAUGUAGAAAGUUAUAAUGUGUAUAUAUACUAUUUACCUACAUGUGAAAUCUAUUUACAACCCUAAAAAAAGAUUUCAACUUCGACAUAACAAAAAUAGUUUGCAGAAAUCUUAGCAAGAAUUAACUACAAAUAUGAAGGGAUCCCCUAUAAUGAAUAGUUUGCACAACCCAAGAUGAUAUAGCAAGAAACGAAGAAUGAAAAACCUUUCCUUCUGUAAAAAUGAAAGUAGUAAUAACAACAUCAGUUCUAGACAUAUUUGAAGUGUCGAAUAUAGGAGCAUACUUAUUAGCUAUUGGAUUAUUCCUUGUCAAUGACAAACAGCCAAUUUCCGCACCAUUUUUCUAGAGCUUCAUAGUUGACAUAGUCUGAAGCUACGUAACAAAUCUCGCCACUUCUUUGAGAUAGUUUCGAGCAAUCUGUGGUUCCCAUGAGACACCUUUGCUUUACAUCUCAAUGUCAAAUAAUCAGGAAAUCCAGGAAUAAGACAUUGGUGCAAUGAUUCUCUAUAUUCCAAAAGAUUGUUAAAUAAAAUCAACGAAAUACUCGAAACCAUAAAAGAGAAAAACUACAUGUGUAUAGAGCUAUUCUUACAGGCAAACUGGUUGAGUUUGAUUCACAAGUUGAACACACGACUUAUUAACCAUAGUCAUUAGUGAUGACAUGGGUACUUAGUAAUGAAGAAUAUAGUUAGUUGAAAUGUGUUGGUAGGUUGUCAUAAGGAUAAGAUUGGUUAGUAUAGUUAGAAGGGUAUUAUUGUAAUUAGGUUAUAUGGCUAUAUAAGGGAUUGUAUAGCUAUCAUUUCCUUAAGUUCUUUUGUAUACAUUUUCUCCAUUUUAAUCAAUACAAUCUUUCUGGUUUUUCUCUCUAUCAUCUUCAUCUUCCUUUGUACCAAUUCUUCAUCUUUUACAAUGUAGUUAAUAUGGUAUCAGAGCCACCAGGCUUACGCCAUUGAUUCUGGUGGUUCCGUAUUAUUUUUUUUUCAUUAGUUUCAUUUUUUUUUCUUCCGUUAAUUUCCUUAGUGUUUCCGCAAUUGUUCCGUAACUUCUGGGUUGUGAACAAUAUAUUCCGAUAAGGUUUUUCUGGGUUGUGAAUUGAGAUGUCGGAUCACAGAUCGUAGUCAGGGAAUUCUUUGGAGUGUUGUUUGGAGUGACGGAUCGUGGUGUACACAAGAAGCCUCCGGACAGACGUAGACUCACAUCUUCACCUCUUUGCUCGACCUCUGUCGCAGCUUCCAUGGCAGAUUAUGGCCGCGUCGAUGAAGAUGAAAAUCUGAUCCCUCUGAAACCAUUUGCUGCAAAUUUCGCAGACAAAUCGGUUCAUCGACAGACGGGUCUUCAGGGCAGUGCAAUCACCUCCGCAUCUGGAUCUGGCAUUCCUGAUUUGGGAUGUUGUCAGUUUCAAGAUCAUGCCGAGGAAGACGACGGACCAGAACGUGAGCUUGGCGAGCGAGCCGUGCCAGUGGAGGUGGUAUUCCAAGAUACGACGACGUUUGGGUUUUGUUCAGUUGCUCUUGCUCGACUCGAUCGUCUCGGAAUUUCUCUUCUGUGUUGCUGAUUGGACAGUGGGAUCUUGGACUUUGUUAGGUUGUUUCUUGUAUCUGUCAUCUUCUUUAUGCAUAUAUGGUGUUUGUGAAAAUGUCUGAAUGAAACUAAAUGCCGCAAGGAGAUCGGUGAUCUGGAGAUUUGGUUCUUUCCGCUGUUAUCGUCUUCAAGGGUUGUUGCAGAGGUGCGAAAUCAGAGUGUUGGAUUCUUCUGGGCUUUAAUUCGAAGAUUAUAGUCAAUUUUUUUAUUUCUGGGUUGCUAAAUUCUCAAGAUGUUGAAGUGGGAUAUUUCUGAUUGCUCUGGGAUAUAUGUGUUGAUUUGGGUGUUUGUGUUCAUCUGCAUAUAUUGUAUUGGAUAUGGUGAUGUGUUGAAAUACGAAGUUUUGUAGUCAAGAAAGUGUCAAUCUUUACAAGAAAGUGUUAUUCUUUCUGCAUCAACAUCGUGUGGGAGUUUCUACGAUUCUGAUGAUCUGGUGAAGACUUCCGAUUGUUUGGGUGCUGCUUGAAGAUUGGGUGUUUGGUGAUCUGACACGGCGCUGUAUGGUUGUUUGGAGAUUUGGUGGUGCGAUUUUGGUAAAUCAGGUGAAUUCGUUUACUGGUUUUGUUUGUUGCUUAUUUCGUGAAGAUGUGGCCUUUGAUGUACUUUCGAGAUUUUAUUGAAGUGAAGAUUUGGAGUUUUUUUUUUUGGUAGAAUCUUGAUGUGUUGAUCUCUGCAAGUAUUAGUUUUCUUGUCAAUUUAAAGAAGAAAGUGUCAUUCUUUCUAUGAAGCUUGGAGUUUCAUUCUCCUAAGUUGCAGUAUGAUUUGGAGUUUCAUUCUCCUAAGUUGUAGUAUGAUUUGUGUUCAUGGAGUGUCAGUCUCCUUAUUUGGUAUUUUUAGUAGAACUGUGAGAUUUGUGUUGUGCUUUGGAGUGUCAUUCUCCUUGGCUGAUUUGGUUUCUUGGAGUGUCAUUCUCCUUGGUAGAUUUAGUUUCUUGGAGUGUCAUUCUCCGUGGUAGUUUAGUUUCUUGGGAGUGUCAUUCUCCUUGGUAGAUUUAGUUUCUUGGCAGUGUCAACUAUGGCUUCUCAGUUCACAGUCGAAAAUUUGUUGGGUAUGUUCAGACCAAGACCACGAAGCAUAGCUCUUUCUCCUGCAACCAUCAUGUACUUUGGAACAUCCUGUGCCAUCACAGAACCACCACCAAUAAAUGAGAAAUAGUCAACAUGGCAGAAUUGAUGAACGACAACAGCCCCUGCAGACAUCUUGGUCUUGCAGUUCCAGAUUAGUUUCAGCGUUCUAGCUCGUUCAACCUUCACUUGGCUACACCAAGUUCAGUUUGAGGGGGGAGUAUUAACCAUAGUCAUUAGUGAUGACAUGGUUACUUAGUAAUGAAGAAUAUAGUUAGUUGAAAUGUGUUGGUAGGUUGUCAUAAGGAUAAGAUUGGUUAGUAUAGUUAGAAGGGUAUUAUUGUAAUUAGGUUAUAUGGCUAUAUAAGGGAUUGUAUAGCUAUCAUUUCCUUAAGUUCUUUUGUAUACAUUUUCUCCAUUUUAAUCAAUACAAUCUUUCUGUUUUUUCUCUCUAUCAUCUUCAUCUUCCUUUGUACCAAUUCUUCAUCUUUUACAAUGUAGUUAAUACGACUUACCCAUUCUUAUGAUAAAAUGUGUGUUGUCUGUUGAGUUUGAGGGGUUAUGUUUUAUACAUUUAAUGAUAUUAAUAUCUUGUUAUCAAGAGGAAUAUGACGGACUAUUCUUAAUUAAUGUCACCUAUAUAGGAGUAAAUGGGGCCGCAUUUAUGAGAAUUGAAAUGGCUAAAUUAUCUAAAACUCCUACGAAAUCCGGGAUUUGUUCAGGGCCAAAAUGAACACAACCGUAUGAAUUGACAUGUGGCAGACAUGCUAUGUGUGUAGCAUGAACAGUUCAAGAUCUUCCACAUCCAUUGUGUCACCAAGUAAACCCGAUAUGUUUUCACUAGGGUAAGUUUAAGUCCAAAAGACACUUCACCUGAUGCAUAUCAUGUCUAUUCUCUCUUAGUUUUAGGCAGCCUAGACAUACAUUUGCAUUUACAUUUGCAUUCAAAUGUGGGGUAUUGUUGGAGUUUGAAUGAAAUUUCAACUCAAAUGUAGGGUAUUGUUGGAUUUUGAGUAGAAAUUUCAUUGUCCCACAUUGGCCAUUCCUAAAAGGUUUCCUCAUCAAGAUGUCAUGUCGAAUCUGUGUCCAAGUUUUGGCACCAACAGCUAUACAUUCAUGUUCUAACAGCUAUAUAUUCAUGUUCUAGUGUGCUAUUUGAGUUGAAGAAAUAAUAUAUGAUUUAUUCAAACUACAUAGAAAGUUCUUUUAUUAAUCAUAAAAUCAUAAACAUGGAAAACAAACGCACAACCCAAAUUACAUUUUUGCAGUCUUAACGGAUGGUAGCUAGCUCCUUAUUAUUUGUAGGCAACUUGGGCGCUGGAGAUACACUUUCAAAAGAAACAUUACAGUAAGUGGAUAUUUUAGGCUUA
rnacentral:lncRNA from 1 species